rnacentral:rRNA from 1 species
CCUACGGGAGGCAGCAGUGGGGAAUAUUGUACAAUGGGCGAAAGCCUGAUGCAGCAACGCCGCGUGAAGGAAGAAGGGUUUCGGCUCGUAAACUUCUAUCAACAGGGACGAAAGAAAUGACGGUACCUGAAUAAGAAGCCCCGGCUAACUACGUGCCAGCAGCCGCGGUAAUACGUAGGGGGCAAGCGUUAUCCGGAUGUACUGGGUGUAAAGGGUGAGUAGGCGGCAUGGUAAGCCAGAUGUGAAAGCCUUGGGCUUAACCCGAGGAUUGGAUUUGGAACUGCGUGGCUUGAGUGCAGGGGGGGCAGGCGGAAUGCCUGGUGUAGCGGUGAAAUGCGCAGAUAUCAGGAGGAACACCGGUGGCGAAGGCGGCCUGCUGGACUGCAACUGACGUUGAGGCGCGAAAGCGUGGGGAGCAAACAGGAUUAGAUACCCUUGUAGUC